AUGGCCGGCUCCGGCGGCUCUCCCGACGCCGACGAUCCCAAUUGCGGCGGAGCUGGGGCUGAGCCCUCCAGGACUCCUCAAGAAUCCGACGACCUCUACUCCGCGCCCGCCUCCCCUCUCAGCACUCGCCCGUCCGGUCAGCCCCCGGGGACUUCGGUCGUCGCCAACGAGGGCUCCGCCUCGUCCUCCGCCUGGCUAUCUGAUGACGACGACGAGCCCACAGACAGGUACAAGAACCCCGCCUCCGUUUCCUUCCUCUUGGGACCGUCGAGCAGAACCAUGGGAGCGUCAUCCUCCUCGUCCUUCUCCUCGGACAGCUGGAUCGGCAGCGACCGUACGUGCGGCGGCGCCUCGACCUCCAGCUCUCUGGACGCCUCCAACUACAGGGAUCUCUACAGGGAUCCACCCUCUGAGACUCUGAGUGGAUGUAUAAUCAGUGCACAGGCUUGGAAAGAUUCACGAAUUGCUCUUGAAGUCCCAUAUGCUUGGCUCUUUCAGAUUCUGGAAGCUCCUUUUUGGAGUCACGAGGCAUCUGAUGCUGUGAGGGCUUCUUGGAGAGACGAGUACGAAGCUUGUGAUGAUUUUUCUAUGGUUUUGCAGACAUCACAAAAUGGCUGCAGAAAAAUUCUUCAAAAGGAACCUUUAUCAUCUCUACCGCAUGAGUUUGAAAACGAAAUUAUGAAAGAUAAGGCCAAAAAGCUUUUGGCUAAUUACUCUGAAUAUCGGAAGGAGCAGCUUGUGAAAGUAUCUCAUGAGGAGGAGCUACGUUUACUUGGUGCACUUGAACCAAUGUGGGAGAAAUUCCAAAGGCUUCAUUUGCCUGGUUCAUAUUCAGAUCUUCAUGAUGCUUUUGUGGGCUUUAUACUGGAAUGCAUGGAACAAAAACAAAAACUGUCAGUAAGUGGCUAUCAAGAGUGGCUUUUCCAGGAGAGUCAAAAUGAGCAGAAGUUUGCGAACAUACUUUUGUAUCUUCGACUUGUGACAGCUAUUGAGAUAUGCACUGAGGUUGAAACUUUUAAGUCAUACAUAACCGAACUUGGUCAAGGAAUGCCUGAUGCAAUAGGGUACUGCCUGGAGGAGGUUCUCCCAGUGGAGGAAGAUGCACAACAAGUGAAUCUCACUGCGCUCACCAAUGUCCUACAGGUGCCACUUCGAGUUGUUAACAUUGACGUUUCACCGAUUGAGGAGCCUAACAUCCACAUCAUCUACGAGUCACCAGAUUCCUCGGUUCCUACUGUGACACUACUGUAUAGACCAGGGCAUUAUGAUAUCAUCUACGAGAAGCAAAUUGCUGAAAAAACUUCUGCUGGAAACAAGUACUGCUUCAUUUUUCUUCUUAUGGUGGGGGUGAAGAGGUGA
rnacentral:rRNA from 1 species